rnacentral:rRNA from 1 species
UGGCGAAUAUUGGACAAUGUGCGCAAGCCUGAUCCAGCCAUGUCGCGUGAGUGAUAAAGGCCCUUGGGUUGUAAAGCUCUUUCACCGGUGAAGAUAAUGACGGUAACCGGAGAAGCAGCCUCGUCUAACUUCGUGCCAGCAGCCGCGGGAAUACGACGGGGGCUAGCGUUGUUCGGAUUUACUGGGCGUAAAGCGCACGUAGGCGGACAUUUAAGUCAGAGGUGAAAUCCCGGGGCUCAACCGCGGAACUGCCUUUGAUACUGGAAGUCUUGAGUAUGGUAGAGGUGAGUGGAAUUCCGAGUGUAGAGGUGAAAUUCGUAGAAAUUCGGAGGAACACCAGUGGCUAAGGCGGCUCACUGGACCAUUACUGACGCUGAGGUGCGAAAGCGUGGGGAGCAAACAGG